GUGAGGACAUCGAGGACAACAGCUGGGAUGGCUCCCGCGGCGGGCAGCCCUGCGCCCACCUCAGCCCCGGGCCCCAGGGGCCAAUGCCUGGGGAACACUGCCUGUCCGUGUGUCCGGGACACACACACGGAGCUCCCCGGAGUCAGGGCGAGGCUGGCGGCUCCGCUGCGCAGGGCCUCGGCCAGCAGAGAGGGGCUGGCCGGGUGGCAGCCGCGACUGUGCCAGGGCACAGAGGGGUCCCGGCCCUCACCCUCAGCCUCGCCCUACGGGGAGAGCAGAGUGGCAGGGCAAGCGCGGUGCCCCAGGGCCAGCUCCUGGUGUCUCGCUCUGGGCCGAUUCGCGCCUCCCUGCUUCCCCUCAGCUCCAACUAAGAAAAAGGGACGGGAGAAGGACCAAGACCUUGGAGCAACCUGGAUGCUGAUUUCACCCCAGCACCUCGUGUGCAUCUGGCCAGCCGCCCUCGGUGACUCCCAGCCCCCCACCCUCGCUCCCGGCCUGGAAAUACCCGAGCAUCUGCCGAAGCAGCUGCAGCUUUCCGUGGCUGCGGCAACAUCCUGAGAGGAACGACUCAGAGGAGGGAAGGCUCUCGGUGGCUCACGGCUCACGGCUUCACAGGUGGAAUUGCAGACCUGUCUUGGAUUGCCCUGGGAGAGCCCCGCGGCCUGGACCCCGCCUCUUGCAGUCUGGGGCGACCGACCCCCGCGGGGUCACACUGCCGCCCUGUGGCCAUUUAUCGCACUGCAGGCGCGCUUCCUGGGCGCUGAGGUCCCGGGUGAAGGAAGCCUCAGGCCCCGGGCAGUCUUACUCUCAGCCCCUGUUCUGGACACAUCACUCCAGCCCCUUGCUGGGCCGCCCCGUCACCUGUUGGGUCUGGCUUGGCUCUAAGUUAGCUCGGAGAAAAAGCAGUGGGCGCUGUGCUCACCGUGCGCGUGGAGCUGGAGAAAUCGGGGGCGGGGCGGGGCAGAGCAGAAACAGAAAAGAUCCUGGGGUAGACAGGGAGAGGGACAGGCAGACAGG
rnacentral:lncRNA from 1 species